UACGUAGGGCGCAAGCGUUGUCCGGAAUUAUUGGGCGUAAAGAGCUCGUAGGCGGUUUGUCGCGUCUGCUGUGAAAACCUAAGGCUCAACCUUGGGCGUGCGGGCGAUACGGGCAGACUGGAGUACUGCAGGGGAGACUGGAAUUCCUGGUGUAGCGGUGAAAUGCGCAGAUAUCAGGAGGAACACCGGUGGCGAAGGCGGGUCUCUGGGCCGAUACUGACGCUGAGGAGCGAAAGCGUGGGGAGCGAACAGG
rnacentral:rRNA from 1 species